AAUUUCCUACGGGAGGCAGCAGUGAGGAAUAUUGGUCAAUGGACGAGAGUCUGAACCAGCCAAGCAGCGUGAAGGAUGACUGCCCUAUGGGUUGUAAACUUCUUUUAUAUGGGAAUAAAAUGUUCCACGUGUGGGAUUUUGUAUGUACCAUAUGAAUAAGGAUCGGCUAACUCCGUGCCAGCAGCCGCGGUAAUACGGAGGAUCCGAGCGUUAUCCGGAUUUAUUGGGUUUAAAGGGCGCGUAGGAGGAUUGUUAAGUCAGUUGUGAAAGUUUGCGGCUCAACCGUAAAAUAGUAGU
rnacentral:rRNA from 1 species